CUCAACCAGGAUGGUGCUGGGCACAAGAGCUGUGCUGUCUGCACAAAGCUGCACCUGUGGGGCACACGCCUGUCCUUCUCUCCCUCGGUCCAUUUCUGAACCUAAGACCACGGAAGGAAAGGCCACUGACCUUUGCCUGGGGCAUAACAGAAAAAACCAGAGCGUGGUGCCUCCUUUGCCACUGCCCCUUCUCCUCCCCCAUCUCCUUCAGCAAUCCAGCCUCCGUCCCCUCGAAUGCCAGGACCUUCCCUGGUGCUCUAAGCAGGCUGGGAGGCCACCCAGUUUUAGGUAGAACAGAAGCCUUCCUAUAGCAGGACAAGUGGCCAGCACUGGAGUGUAGCAGCUUUCCCCAAAUGAGCAUAAAUCCCUUGGAUGGUGGGUGUGGGGAAGCUGCCUCAAGAAAAGCUAGGAGUUCCACAAU
rnacentral:lncRNA from 1 species